AAAGCGCGCGUAGGUGGUUCGUUAAGUUGGAUGUGAAAUCCCCGGGCUCAACCUGGGAACUGCAUUCAAAACUGACGAGCUAGAGUAUGGUAGAGGGUGGUGGAAUUUCCUGUGUAGCGGUGAAAUGCGUAGAUAUAGGAAGGAACACCAGUGGCGAAGGCGACCACCUGGACUGAUACUGACACUGAGGUGCGAAAGCGUGGGGAGCAAACAGGAUUAGAUACCCUAGU
rnacentral:rRNA from 1 species